CAAUUUAUUUGUCCCUCUUUUUUUUUUUUUCUUCCCCACAAUGUAUGUAAAUCACAAUCCACACCCGCACCGCCGGUUAAGAGGCACACGCUCAGUCACACAAAGCUUGUUUACAAGCCUGCGUCCCAUGAGGUAAGUUUGUUUUUCAUCGGCUGUUCCCAUUCUGUGCCUGCCGCAGUGCAACCGUGUAAUGCCAUUAGUCAGCUUUUGCAUUUCUGCACUGUGAGAGUGCUUCAAUAUUCUUCUCAAGGUGUUUUCUUUCUCCCCGAGCGCCUCUUCAAGGCUCCGGGGGCGGCUUAAUUUUCACUAUAAGCGGAGCCGUGGCCCCGUCUUGUUUGUUUGUCAACUGAUACGCCGCUCCGUCCCAACUAUGUUACUUUAAAAAAAAAAAAGCGACGCAGUGAGCUUUUAGGGAGCGAUGCCAUUGUUGAUGUACUUCACAGCCCGUUUGCUAAUUGCUAUCUACAGCUCAAGCAGCCAUGUGUUCUGUUAUUCUUGUUGUUCCCUGUUCUGUCGCUAAGAGCGAAUGCUGCGCUCACUUUCUGUCUGUUUCUGUCUUUUCGCUGCUUCGUCGUAUACACACCAACUGAGAUGAACACCGGGAGGCACAGGCACACCUUACACAAACAGACAAGGACCAGCUGCGUAACGGAUUGGAACAGCUGGAAUAAACGCGUAAAAAACGGUGUGCUGAGAGGCUGCAAUCAAAUUCGAAGCGCCGCCAACAACUGUUGAGGAAAGGAUCUGAUGAACAAAUGGAAAUGCAGGCGGCUGACGGGCAUGCUGAUUGAGGCUGCAGGGGUGGAGAGGUGCCGAAGGCCCUUUGCCCGUCUGUGCCUGAGGUAGAUGGCCGGAGGCCGAGAAGAUGUGCUUCUCAAAGGACUGCUUCAAGGAGGAAAGUCAUAUAAUAAAACUUACCCAGUCUCAUCAAACACAGUAACGUCAAACUGUUACGCUAGAUAGCCCUAGUUUUCCAUGUGUCGAAUCCUUUUGUCACAUAAAAAAAAGGUUGUGUGUUUCGGGUUCAAAUAAGUAUGUUGUGGUAAUUUACUAGACUGCAUUAUCUAAAUGACGUAGAUAUGUUAACUUAGCUUAGAAUAAGUCAAAAUUGACUUUAGGUUUCACAUGGGAAACAAACAACUUUUGUUAUUUGACCCAUCUACGUAAUCUGACCUCCUCCUUCACUUACACCACAACAUCUGCAAGUAGAGAGUCAUAGUUUGACGAGUAGGAACACCGACAAAGUUGCAGUAUCUGACGUGUUGGGAGUGGAAACUGGAUGACUAAAAAAAAUAUACACACUUAUAUUUAUGUUGACUUAGUAUUAUUGUAUUCUCAAUAUAUAUGUUUUAUGUGGUUCAUAGAACAUUAUCCCUUUUCUCCCAAUAAAAAGCAAUGCUCUUUUUACCCAAGCAAAGGAAGAAAGUA